CCUGCAUUGACUUGAACUUACACAUUCUGAUAAAUUUGCUCCAGGUAUUAUUCAAAUUGGUGAAUUUGGAGAAACACAAUGAAUUUUAAAAUAAUCUCAUGUAAUGAAAGCAGGACGAGAAAUUAGGCCUUCAGGUUAUUUUUUAAUCUGUUCAAACAUUUAAUAUAUUUCAUAAUUCGCUUCUGGGCUUUGUGUGUUAAAUAUGGAUGUUUAGUUUGUGAGUUUUGUUAGUCACAAAUUCAUAAAACAAGCUGUUAUAUUGAAGUAUUUAUCUUAUUUAAUCAUUCAGUGACUAAA